rnacentral:rRNA from 1 species
GAUGAACGCUGGCGGCGUGCUUAACACAUGCAAGUCGAACGGAGCGAUUUGACGGAAGUUUUCGGAUGGAAGUUAAAUUGACUGAGUGGCGGACGGGUGAGUAACGCGUGGGUAACCUGCCUCACACUGGGGGACAACAGUUAGAAAUGACUGCUAAUACCGCAUAAGCGCACAGGACCGCAUGGUCCGGUGUGAAAAACUCCGGUGGUGUGAGAUGGACCCGCGUUUGAUUAGCUAGUUGGUGGGGUAACGGCCUACCAAGGCGACGAUCAAUAGCCGACCUGAGAGGGUGACCGGCCACAUUGGGACUGAGACACGGCCCAAACUCCUACGGGAGGCAGCAGUGGGGAAUAUUGCACAAUGGGGGAAACCCUGAUGCAGCGACGCCGCGUGAGUGAAGAAGUAUUUCGGUAUGUAAAGCUCUAUCAGCAGGGAAGAAAAUGACGGUAC